AGAGUUUGAUCAUGGCUCAGAAUCAACGCUGGCGGCGUGCCUAACACAUGCAAGUCGAACGCGAAAGUCCCGCAAGGGAUCAGUAGAGUGGCAAACGGGUGAGUAACGCGUGGGUGACCUGCCUUCGAGCGGGGGAUAACGUUCCGAAAGGGACGCUAAUACCGCAUGACAUCCUGUCUUUUAAGAGAUGGCGAUCAAAGCGGCGUCGCAAGACGUCGCACUCGAAGAGGGGCCCGCGUCCGAUUAGCUAGUUGGUGAGAUAACGGCUCACCAAGGCAUCGAUCGGUAGCCGGCCUGAGAGGGCGGACGGCCACACUGGGACUGAGACACGGCCCAGACUCCUACGGGAGGCAGCAGUGGGGAAUUGUUCGCAAUGGGCGCAAGCCUGACGACGCAACGCCGCGUGGAGGAUGAAGAUCUUCGGGUCGUAAACUCCUUUCGAUCGAGAAGAAUUCCUUCCGGGUGAACAAUCCGGAAGGUUGACGGUACCGAGAGAAGAAGCCCCGGCUAACUCCGUGCCAGCAGCCGCGGUAAUACGGGGGGGGCAAGCGUUGUUCGGAAUUACUGGGCGUAAAGGGCUCGUAGGCGGCCAACUAAGUCAGACGUGAAAUCCCUCGGCUUAACCGGGGAACUGCGUCUGAUACUGGAUGGCUAGAGUGUGGGAGAGGGAUGCGGAAUUCCAGGUGUAGCGGUGAAAUGCGUAGAUAUCUGGAGGAACACCGGUGGCGAAGGCGGCAUCCUGGACCACGACUGACGCUGAGUGAGCGAAAGCCAGGGGAGCAAACGGGAUUAGAUACCCUAGUAGUCC
rnacentral:rRNA from 1 species